rnacentral:lncRNA from 1 species
UUCACCAUAAUCUCCCUGCAUCUUCCAAUCUCCAAGUUAUCGACAAUCAUGCAAAAAAUAAAUGAUUCAAACACCAACCAACAACAACAACAACACAGUAGCUCCAAAAUACUAGAGGAGAUCAAGUUUACCUUCAGUCAAUCCCAUAACUCUAGUCUAGCUGCUCUCCUGCUGGAUCCAAACCUGUAGAAACCUCCAACCAUUUAUAUUUGCUGCCUCGGUCGCCAACUCCACCAAAACAACACCCCACACUUCGGUUCCUCUCAGUCCUAACUCACCCGACCUCUGCCUCAGCCCGGACCAACAAGCAACUGCUCCAAGGUCCAUCCUGACUUCACACAAAGCUCACAGAACCCAUCGAAACAUUGAAGAGCUCACUGAAAAUCCAUUGAACGUAGGUCGCCGGAGCUAGGAACCAGAAACCCAGAAAAAGGCAGAAAAGGGCUUUGCAGUUUAGAACUCGAUUCGGGAUGAAACAAACCUAGAAAAGAAGAGGAGAGGAAGGAGAAUAAGAAUCUGACCUUGGUCUGUCGAUUCGUUGCCGGAACUCACCGGAAUUUGGGAAGAACAGCCGUUGUCCUCCUCUUCCGAUCUCCGCCGAGAAUGGCUGCCUCCCGGAUUUGAGAGUUGAGCUAGGUCGGGAAGGAGGAGAGGACCACUUGGUGGCAGUCUCGUCGCCAAGGGGUGGCCGGACGGCGCUGCUCCGGUGAGGGACGACGACGGACACAGAGAGAGUCGGGGAGAGGAGAGAGAUUCGGUUGGGCUUGGUCAAACCCGACUUGGGCAUUUUGACUGGGUCUGACCAGUC